rnacentral:rRNA from 1 species
GACGAACGCUGGCGGCGUGCUUAACACAUGCAAGUCGAACGAAGAGCGAUGGAAGCUUGCUUCUAUCAAUCUUAGUGGCGAACGGGUGAGUAACGCGUAAUCAACCUGCCCUUCAGAGGGGGACAACAGUUGGAAACGACUGCUAAUACCGCAUACGAUCUAAUCUCGGCAUCGAGGAUAGAUGAAAGGUGGCCUCUACAUGUAAGCUAUCACUGAAGGAGGGGAUUGCGUCUGAUUAGCUAGUUGGAGGGGUAACGGCCCACCAAGGCGAUGAUCAGUAGCAGGUCUGAGAGGAUGAGCGGCCACAUUGGGACUGAGACACGGCCCAGACUCCUACGGGAGGCAGCAGUGGGGAAUCUUCCGCAAUGGACGAAAGUCUGACGGAGCAACGCCGCGUGAGUGAUGACGGCCUUCGGGUUGUAAAGCUCUGUUAAUCGGGACGAAAGGCCUUCUUGCGAACAGUUAGAAGGAUUGACGGUACCGGAAUAGAAAGCCACGGCUAACUACGUG